rnacentral:rRNA from 1 species
GACGAACGCUGGCGGCGUGCUUAACACAUGCAAGUCGAACGGAAAGGCCCUGCUUGCAGGGUACUCGAGUGGCGAACGGGUGAGUAACACGUGGGUGUUCUCCCCUGCACUUCGGGAUAAGCCUGGGAAACUGGGUCUAAUACCGGAUAGGAACCAUCUUGAGUGUGGUGGUUGGAAAGUUUUUUCGGUGUAGGAUGAGCUCGCGGCCUAUCAGCUUGUUGGUGGGGUAAUGGCCUACCAAGGCGGCGACGGGUAGCCGGCCUGAGAGGGUGUACGGCCACACUGGGACUGUGAGACAGGCCAGACUCCGACGUGUGGCACCAGUGGGGAAUAUUGCACACAGGGCGCAAGCGUGAGGCAGCGACGCCGCGUGAGGGAUGAAGGCCUUCGGGUUGUAAAAACCUUUCGCUAGGGACGAAGCUUUGUUGUGACGGUACCUAGAUAAGAAGCACCGGCUAACUACGUG